rnacentral:rRNA from 1 species
UACGUAGGUGGCAAGCGUUGUCCGGAUUUAUUGGGCGUAAAGGGAGCGCAGGCGGUGACUUAAGUCUGAUGUGAAAGCCCACGGCUUAACCGUGGAGGGUCGUUGGAAACUGGUCGACUUGAGUGCAGAAGAGGGAAGUGGAAUUCCAUGUGUAGCGGUGAAAUGCGUAGAGGUAUGGAGGAACACCAGUGGCGAAGGUGGCUUCCUGGUCUGUAACUGACACUGAGGCGCGAAAGCGUGGGGAGCAAACAGGAUUAGAUACCCUGGUAGU